rnacentral:rRNA from 1 species
AUUGAACGCUGGCGGCAUGCCUUACACAUGCAAGUCGAACGGUAACGGGCCUUCGGGUGCCGACGAGUGGCGAACGGGUGAGUAAUAUAUCGGAACGUGCCCAGUAGUGGGGGAUAGCCCGGCGAAAGCCGGAUUAAUACCGCAUACGACCUGAGGGUGAAAGCGGGGGAUCGCAAGACCUCGCGCUAUUGGAGCGGCCGAUAUCAGAUUAGCUAGUUGGUGGGGUAAAGGCCUACCAAGGCAACGAUCUGUAGUUGGUCUGAGAGGACGACCAGCCACACUGGGAAUGAGACACGGCCCAGACGCCUACGGGAGGCAGCAGUGGGGAAUUUUGGACAAUGGGCGCAAGCCUGAUCCAGCAAUGCCGCGUGCAGGAAGAAGGCCUUCGGGUUGUAAACUGCUUUUGUCAGGGAAGAAAUCUUCUGGGUUAAUACCUCGGGAGGAUGACGGUACCUGAAGAAUAAGCACCGGCUAACUACGUGCCAGCCGCCGCGGUAACAC